GGAGCCUGAAUCCCCACCAACUUCUCCGGACUUUCAAUAGCUCAUCAUCGGCUCCACAGAAAUCAACCUGCAACAUGACAGCUUUCACCUCAAGUGUCUCAUAAAAAGCCAAAGUCAACUCUGAAGAUCAAGUAUUACCCAUUAGUGGAAUGAAGCCGAAUAACCUCUGACCAGACUGUCACUGGGGAGUUUUGGCCACAUCUGUGAUUCCUGUUAGCACCCACUUUCUUCCUCAAAGGGCCAGGAGGACAGCUUUUGGCUAAAGCAAGGAAGUUGUGUUCAAAGGAUUUACAGAUGAAACGGGCUUCAGAGUCAAAAGGUUCCAUGCAGUGGCGGAUUCUCUUUUAUACAGUACUAAGAAAUGACCUGCCCUUGGCCUUUUAAAGUGUCACUUGCAACCUGUCAAGAUACUGGAGAGGAGUCACAGCAGGUGUCACAUCAGCUGUGACAAAACCCAAACCAUUUUAGAGCCUAGACUGGCAGUUACAUUAGAACCCUGGCAAGGAGCCUUCUCUGAGGGCUCUCUGACCGAACUGGAGAAGCCUAGAAGUGCCCUCAUUGGAAGCUGUUUGUAACAGGAAAACUGGGACUGCUACAUAAAGCUUAGCAUAUAAAAGAAGCCAAUUGGUAGAGUAAGGGUGGAAGCCAUUCUUCACCUGGGCUUCAGGUAGCCAAGAACAUGCUUAAGGAAAGCCUUUCGUAUACUUGGAGGAUGGCAGGUGCUGGGUAAG
rnacentral:lncRNA from 1 species